rnacentral:rRNA from 1 species
CAGAGACUGCAAGCGUUGUUCGGAUUCAUUGGGCGUAAAGGGUGCGCAGGCGGUGCGUUAAGUCGGAUGUGAAAUCUCACAGCCUAACUGUGAUAGGUCAUUCGAAACUAGCGCGCUAGAGGACUGGAGAGGGGACUGGAAUGGUCGGUGUAGCGGUGAAAUGCGUAGAGAUCGACCAGAACACCGGUGGCGAAGGCGGGUCUCUGGACAGUUCCUGACGCUCAGGCACGAAAGCCAGGGAGCAAACGGGAUUAGAUACCCCGGUAGUCCUGGCCUAAACGGUGUUCACUUGGUGUGCGGGAGUCGACCCCUGCGUGCCGCAGCUAACGCGAUAAGUGAACCGCCUGGGAAGUACGACCGCAAAGGUU